rnacentral:rRNA from 1 species
UGGUAAUAAUUUUUUUUAAUUAAACCUUAAAAUUUUGGCGGCAUUUUAUUUAAUUAGAGGAACCUGUUAAAUAAUCGAUAAACCACGUUAAUUUUUACUAAUUUUAAAAGUUUUUAUACCACCAUCAACAGAAAUAAUUUUAUAUUUAUUCCCAAUAAUUUUAUAAAAAGUUAGGUAAAGGUACAGCUUAUAUUUUAGUUAUAAUGUGUUUCUUUAAAUAAAAUUUAAUACAAACUUAAAAAAUUUUUUUUUAUUAAGAAUUUAAAAGUAAAAUUAUUAAAUAUAAAUUUUAUAAUAAUAUUUUAAUUUGAAUAAAAUUAUAAAUGUGC